GUAGAUUACCUCUGUAUGCAUAGGAAAUAGAAGAUUCAAACUUCAAAGCACUGGUCCAUUGUCUAGUUUUCCUCGGAGGAAAGCACUGCUCUGACAAUUGCUAUGAGGAGGUUUGUCAGCCUGCUUGAGAGCUAUAAAUAAGAAGCCUUAGGCCUGAUCCUGUCAUCUUUAUGAUGCUUAAACUUUGAACAGGGAAAGUGUAAGUCGUACAACUAAGAUCUUCUAAAUAGUUAUUUGGAAUACCCUGGAAAAUGCGUGCAAUGACUCUAUUAGACUCUACAUCUAAGCUGCAUUUGGAUUCAAACUUUUUGGGAUGAUUCCAGAGACUUUUACAAAUCAGCAGCCUUGCCAUCUCUUUUAUGAAACUGACCUUUACACUCAGUUGUAUGUAUAUUGAUCUUUUAACCAUUUAUAAAUCUUUCUUUUUCCUUUUAUUAAUAAACCCUAGAUUUAGUUAUUAAGCAUUGGCUGUAAGCAUGUAUUUAGAUAAGAUCUGAGGAUAAGUGUCUGAUCCUCUGGGAUUGGUAGAACUUUAUGUAUGGUGUAUAGGGUUUUCGGUAACCCCUCACUAUAUUAGACUUGGUUGUCCAGAUGGAAGCCAAGAGCUGGAAUGCCGAAAGGGAACAGUGUUUGGCUUCUUGUUAACCAGUGUGGUACUAUAGAAGCUCUUUUGUUACUGCCUUAGUGAAUCUAAUUAUAGAAUAAACCACCAGUUCUAGGAAUUGUUUGCCCUAUUUCUUGCAGUCUGCCCUGAGCGUUGCAUUCUCAGUGUGGUCCAUCCAGGCCCCUGGUCACACUUGUAUAACAUCAUUAACUAAUAUUCCAGCGAUAAAAUAAUUACAUUCAUUACAUUUAGAAGAUGGUCAUACGGUAACAAUUGCACUUAAUAUCUGACCCUUGACUUGUGAGCCAUCUGGGAUGGGUAGAAUCUGCUAUCAGAAAGGAAGUUAUCUGUAAGAAGUUUUUCAUUAUGCACCCCAGUGCCUUCCACAAUUCUGGAUGGCAGGGAAAUAGCAAGCAAUGAACAGAACGUUAUGAAACAAACAUUCAGGGGGAAAGAAGUGUAACCCCCUUUUUAUGAGCUCACUCAGAAAUCUGUUAUUUCUGGGCUACUGCCUGCAGCAUCUUCUUGCCAAAGGAAAUCUCUACAGAAGACAAAAGGUCCAUCUUAUAGUGCUUAAUGAAGGUAUCAGCUAUAGACCAAGUGGUCGCUUUGCAAAUUUCUUAAGUGGACACACUUGUUCUGCCCGUGAGGUUGCUAAGUAUCUUGCAGAGUGUGCCUUGAUCCCUUUUGGGGCAGGAGCCUCUGACAAUGUGUAGGCUUCCACACUGCAUGGCCUAAAAUCUAGCUAGCAAUGAAAAACUUGAAAGCUCUAAGUCUCUAGCAUUUUAGGUCAAAGGAUACAAGUAGGUGUAGAUUCUGUAUACCUGAGAUACAUUUUCAAUGCUCUUCUGACAUCUAAAGUGUGCCCCAUCUUUUCAAUUGGAUAUUAUGGUUUUGGACAGAAUGAAGGAAGCACAACCUCUUUGGAAAUGUGGAAAGAGGAAUUUACCUUUAGAAGAAAGGAUUCUGGUGUCCUGAACACACAGUAAGGCUCCUGCAUACAUAAGGCUACCAGCUCUGGCAAGUGCCUGGCAUGCACGAGAGCUACUAAAACAAGUCUUAAUGGAUAAAUAAAAGGCUGACUCUUAAAACAGAAGCUUGAAGGGAUGGCUCAUCAGGGUGCUCAAAAGGUAAUGGAAGAUCCCAUUUUGGCUGAUCAGACUGCUUGUAGGAAUCUGACUACCUGUGGAUUGUUUACCAAGGACCCCAAGGAUCCUUUGAAUAGCAUGUCAUUAAGAGCAGACACCUGAUACAUAGUGCUACUGGGCUGAAGACCUCUAGCUGUACCUUCUUAGAGAAAGUCCAGAAUGGGUAGAAUUCCUGGAUUUCUGGGAUUUGCAUUGUGGUUUUGGCACCAGUUGCUGAAUCUGGACCAGGUAGAGUAUGCUUUUAGUGUCAAUACUCUCCUAGAUGAAAGCAAUGUCUUAAUGAUUAUGACAGACGGAGUCCAUUUCCCCUCAAUAGCCAGGGUGUUAGUUGAAUCCAUUUUUGUGUGGAUGAAGAAAAGGGCCUUGGCAAGAGGCUAUCUGGUCUCCUCAGAUGCUUGAGUGGGGGAUCUAGUGUCAGCUCUAUCCCAUCUGAGCCUCAGCCAAGGAGGAUUUAUCAGCAUUAUCAUCGCCUUUUCUUGUUUUAUUUUCUGAACCACUUUCCCCAGUAGCAGAAAGGGUGGAAAUGCAUAAAGUAGGCUCUGUGGCUAACUGCACUAUUAAGCAUCAGUUCCUAUGGAUCUGGUGUCUGCUUUGUGAAUUUUUUUGGUCUCUUAAUUCAUACAAUUCACGAACAGGUCAGUUGAUGGGAGGCCAGACGUCUAACUGAUAAGCUUGAAAACAUUCUGAUUCAGGCAGCUUGGAAUUGUUGAUCCUGUGACUGCUGAGCCAGUCUGCCUUUUGAUUCAGGUCUUCAUUCUGUCCUUCAGAGCGAUCCACAUCAAAGAACUCUUCUGCUUACCUCAUUAUUUCCACUUCUUCCAUGUGUAGAGCCAGACUCCUUGUUUCCCCUUGGUUGUUUCAAUAUGUGACCGUAGUCAUAUUGUCUGAUUGAACCAGAAUAUGGUUCCCCCUGUGGGUGGAACCUUUGCAGAGCUAGAUUGACCAAUCAACUUUAGGUUUAUGCUGUGAGCCUUUUCCGUCUCACUCCAGACAUCCUGAGCUGUUUGGGUCUCCAACUGAGCUCCCCAGUCCUCCAGGCUAAGAUCAGUUGUGAGGACUAAAGGAUCUGGAAGGCAGAUGGGCAUACUUUUGCAGACAUUGUCAUGAACUGACGACAGUUAUAAGGAGCUGAACACCUGUGCUGGACCCUGUAUUUGAUCUUUCAUUUGUUCUGGGGAGUAGUUCUUUCUUCUUCGAGUGAUUGCUCAUGUGUAUUCCACAGUAGGUGAUUCCAAGCCAUCCCUGUUGGAAGUGGGUAGGAGUUCACGAUAGACCGGGACAGAGUACCACCCUGCCGAACCCGGCGUCAUCCCUAGACUGGGAGACGAUCGCUUAAUGCGAAGUGAACGUGUGAACCGAGGCCCAAGUGGCCGCUCUACAACUGUCUUGGAUAGGGACAUGGGCUAUGAAGGCAGCUGAUGAGGCCUGAGCCCUCAUUGAGUGUACCCUAACGAUUGGUGGCGGGGGAACCCCUGCCAGGUCAUAGCAGGUGCGUAUAUAUGAGGUAAUCCAGCAGGAAAGUCGCUGGGUGGAAAUAGGUUGCCCCUUCACCCAAGGCAACAAAAAGCUGGGAGGAUUUCCGGAACGGUUUGGUCCAAUCUAGGUAGAAUGCCAGCGCUCUACGUACAUCGAGCGUGUGGAGGCAGCGUUCCUCAUUGGAGGAAUAGAGCUUAGGACAGAGCACGGGGAGAAAGAUGCUCUGAUCCAUAUGGAAGGCAGAGGCCACCUUCGGGAGGAAUGCCGGGUGUGGUCGAAGCUGCACCUUAUCCCUGUGGAAGACCGUAUAGGAAGGUUCCGAGGUCAAGGCCCUGAGUUCCGAGACACGGUGGACUAACAUGAUUGCUACAAGGAAGGCCACCUGCCAUGAGAGGUGAGACCAGGAACUCAUGGCCAGGGGUUCAAAGGGAGGGCCCGUGAGUCACGACAUAACCAUGUUCAGGUCCCAUUGUGGCACGGGGGGGUGUAGCGUAUGGGAACGAACGGUCAAGGCCCUUCAGGAAGCGGGAGGUCAGAAUGGGAGAAGACCGAGUGCCCUUGCACUGGCAGGUGGAAGGCUGAUAUGGCUGCCAGGUGUACCCUGACUGAGGUGGGUGCCUGUCCUUGGGUCCUAAGGGACAGGAGGUAGUCCAGGAUAAGCUGGAGAGGUGCGGAGGAGGGGGAGACCCCCCGCUUACUCGCCCACUUGAAGAACCUGGACCACUUUGCCACAUAUGUGCGGCACGUGGACGGCUUCCUGCUUUCCAGGAGGAGCCGCCUUACCUGCUCCAAACACCUGCCCUUCUCAUCUAGCCACGGAGCAACCACGCUGUCAGGUGAAGCGUGGCUAGAUUGGGAUGGAGGAGGCAGCCCCCAUCUUGGGAGAGGAGGUCCGGGCGAAGUGGCAGCGUCCUCGGGGGGACCGCCAAGAGGCGAAGAAGGGUCCCAUACCAGUGCUGGCGGGCCCAGACUGGGGCUAUGAAGAUGAGUCUCGCUUUGUCUGCUUUUACCUUUUGCAGGACUUUGUCGAUGAGGGGGAACGGUGGGAAAGCGUAAGGGAGCCAGCCCGACCACCGCAGAAGGAAUGCAUCGGAGAUCGUGCCCCUCCCCAUCCGGAGCAGAACCGGGGGCAACACCGGUUCUGACGGGUUGCAAAGAGGUCGACCUGGGGAACUCCCCAAUCUCGGAAGAGCCGGCCGAGACUGGUGCCUGUCAAGAGGAGCAGCUCCACGUGGGCCUUUACCUCAGAAUGCGAGUCGCCCUUGAGAAGCCAAUUGUCCAGGUUGAGUCGACGGUUGCGGUUUGGCCUUGUCCUUAGCUGGAGGGACGUAGAGGCCCAACGUCUGCAGGGUGGUAAAGAAAUUCUUCAUCCGAUGCAGCCUGACAUCCAUCUGGUCCGCGAAGAGCGCUUUCCCAUCAAACGGGAGGUCUAGCAUAAGGGAUUGGGCCUCCGUCAACAGUCCAGACAGGAGGAACCACGAUGCCCUGCGCAUGGAAAUCGCCGAAGCCAUCGAACGGGCUGCAGUGUCGACUGCGUCCGACGCCGCUUGCAGGGCCGCUUUCGCCACUGCCGCCCCCUCUUCCAUCAGGGCCUUCAAGUCCUUCCUAUUCUGAUCCGGGAGGAGAGGCUCAAACUUAGGCAGAGACUCCUACAAAUUAAAGUCAUAUCUGCUCAGCAAGGCCUGGUGGUUGGCUACCCUGAGUUGGAAACUUGCCAAGGAAUAAAUUUUUCUACCAAAGGAG